UGGUGAUAGGGUCUAGGUCAUGUUGACGGUGAUAGGGUUUAGGUCAUGUUGGUGGUGAUAGGGGCUAGGUCAUGUUGUUGGUGAUAGGGUCUAGGUCAAGUUGAUGAUGAUAGGGGCUAGGUCAUGUUGAUGGUGACAGGCUAGGUCAUGUUGUUGGUGAUAGAGGCAAGAUCAUGUUCAUGGUGACAGAGGCUAGGUCAUGUUCAUGGUGAUAGGGGCUAGGUCAUGUUGAUGGUGACAGGGGCUAGGUCAUGUUGUUGGUGAUAGGGGCUAGGUCAUGUUGUUGGUGACAGAGGCUAGGACAUGUUGAUGGUGAUAGGGGCUAGGUCAUAUUGUUGGUGAUAGAGACUAGGUCAUGUUGAUGGUAAUAGGGGCUAGGUCAUGUUGUUGGUGUUAGGGGCUAGGUCAAGUUGAUGGUGACAGAGGCUAGGUCAUGUUGUUGGUGAUAGGGGCUAGGUCAUGUUGAUGGUGACAGGGGCUAGGUCAUGUUGAUGGUAAUAGGGGCUUGGUCAUGUUGUUGGUGAUAGGGGCUAGGUCAUGUUGUUGGUGACAGGGGCUAGGUCAUGUUGUUGGUGAUAGGGGCUAGGUCAUGUUGUUGGUGACAGGGACUAGGUCAUGUUGUUGGUGAUAGGGGACAUUACAGAGGUUGGGGAGGACCUGAAUGUAGCCAGGUGGGGGAU